rnacentral:lncRNA from 1 species
UCAACGUCACCAUCAGUUGUGACUCGCCUUCGAUCUGGAGCAGCGGACAUGGUCUGUUGCUCCCGCCAGUAGCACGAUCCGCGUCUAUCUGGGAUAUGACACAGAUUUCCGAUGUGUUUUGGUCGGAAGACAUUGCGGGCUGUAAGUGUCUGAGAGCAGGUUGCAACUGGCUUGCAUUGUUCAGCUCCCCGAUACCCCAGCGAGCUGGCCAUUGAUUUCAAGCCACUGAUUUUGUUUGUCGGUGCUUGAAAACUAUUGAUUUAUAGUGGCCAGACGUCAGGUGACCCAAAUAAACCGAUGCAAUAUUCCAAUCAAGCUGUUGAUCUCGAAGGUGGCAUAGUUCUGGCAAGAGCAUAGACAAUGCAGCGUCAAGGAUCAGCUCACGCACCACUUCAUAACGGUUUCAGAGAUAAAGAGGCCUGGGUGUU